rnacentral:rRNA from 1 species
UUGACAUGCAGAGAACUUUCCAGAGAUGGAUUGGUGCCUUCGGGAACGUCUGACACAGGUGCUGCAUGGCUGUCGUCAGGCUCGUGUCGUGAGAUGUUGGGUUAAGUCCCGUAACGAGCGCAACCCUUGUCCUUAGUUACCAGCACGUUAUGGUGGGCACUCUAAGGAGACUGCCGGUGACAAACCGGAGGAAGGUGGGGAUGACGUCAAGUCAUCAUGGCCCUUACGGCCUGGGCUACACACGUGCUACAAUGGUCGGUACAAAGGGUUGCCAAGCCGCGAGGUGGAGCUAAUCCCAUAAAACCGAUCGUAGUCCGGAUCGCAGUCUGCAACUCGACUGCGUGAAGUCGGAAUCGCUAGUAAUUGUGAAUCAGAAUGUCACGGUGAAUACGUUCCCGGGCCUU